CUUGAUCAUUCCUGGUUCUCUGUUUCUCCUUCUAUUUUGUUCUGCUCUGAAAUACAUCCAGCAUGAGGUUGUUGCUCGCUGAAGUAGUAAUGCUACUCCUGGUUGCCUUCGUCAGUGCUGGUGGCUACGGCCACGGUCACGGUGGACACGGCCAUGGACACGGUGGACACGGAGGAUACGGCCAUGGGCACGGUGGACACGGAGGAUUCGGCCAUGGGCACGGUGGACACGGAGGAUACGGCCAUGGGCAUGGUGGACAUGGGUAUGGCUACCCGAAAAUAUCCCCUGGAGGCAAAUCCAGCUACGAAUUUUGGCUUGGGAAAAGUGGACACAAAGGCAGCCUCGUCUAUGAAGGAUAUUACGGAGGCCACGGAGGAUACCAUUAGCCGGAAGUUUAGGAUGUUAGCGCUGAAGACUCUAGGAAAAUGAAAUAUAAACCAGUCCUUUGGACACUGAUGACUCUUUUCUGCUUAUAUGAAUAUUUGAUCUGUCCCUGAUUAAUAAACAGAAAUGUUUGUUAACAAUGAACGAUACUGAAUAACUAUGAAUAAAGUCUUUUCGUA